GGCUUCGGCUGGAUUAUUUUUAUCACCCUUGUCUUUUGCGCACUUGUUGUUUCCUGGGCGGGUUCGCCCGCCACCAGGACCACACCAUAAACCUUUUUUAUGCAGUUGCAAUCAGCGUCAGUAUAACAAAUGUAAAUCAUUUACAACUUUCAACAACGGAUCUCUUGGUUCUGGCAUCGAUGAAGAACGCAGCGAAAUGCGAUACGUAGUGUGAAUUGCAGAAUUCAGUGAAUCAUCGAAUCUUUGAACGCACAUUGCGCCCUUUGGUAUUCCAAAGGGCAUGCCUGUUCGAGCGUCAUUUGUACCUUCAAGCUUUGCUUGGUGUUGGGCGUCUUUUUGUCUUUGGCCUCGCCCAAAGACUCGCCUUAAAACGAUUGGCAGCCGGCCUACUGGUUUCGCAGCGCAGCACAUUUUUGCGCUUGCAAUCAGCAAAAAGGACGGCAAUCCAUCAAGACUACAUUUUUACGUUUGACCUCGGAUCAGGUAGGGAUACCCGCUGAACUUAAGCAUAUCAA
rnacentral:rRNA from 1 species